AGCAGAAUAACUCAUCCUCUCCCCAGAGAUGUCCGUUCUCUAAUCCGUGAAACGGGUGAACAUGUUACCUUCCAUGGCAAAAGGGACUUGGCAGAUGCAAUUAAGGUAUGGACCUUGAAUUGGGAAGAGUUCCCUAGAGUGUCCAGGUGGAUCCAAUAUAACUACAUGAGUUUUUAGAAGUGGAAGAGUAAGACAGAAGAGUGGGUCAGAGAGAUGCAACAACGGAAGAAGAGGAGGAGAAGUGGCAGCUUGAGAGAAACUCAACCCACUACUGCUGGCUUUAAAAAUGGAGGAAGAGGGCCAGGCGCGGUGGCUCAUGCUUGUAAUCCCAGCACUUUGGGAGGCAAAGUUGUGCGGAUCACGAGGUCAGGAGUUUGAGACAAGCCUGAUCAACAUGGUGAAACCCCAUCUCUAAAAAAAUACAAAAAUUAGCUGGGUGUAGUGGUGCGCGCCUAUAGUCCCAGCUGCUCAGGAGUCUGAGGCAGGGGAAUGGCGUGAACCCGGGAAGCGGAGCUUGCAGUGAGCCGAGAUCGCACCACUGCACUCCAGCCCGGGCAACAGAGUGAGACUCCAUCUCAAAAGAAAAAAAAAAGAAAGAAAAUGGAGGAAGGAGACCCACCAUGAGCCAAGGAAUGCAGAUGGCUUCUCAAAGCUGAGAACAGUCCUUAGCUGAUAGCCAGAGCAAGAUAAUAAAGACCUCAGUUCUACAAUCACAAGGAACUGAAUUCUGCCAACAACCUGAAUGCACCAAGAGACAGACUCUUCCAAAGAUCCCUCAGAAAGAGACACAGACGUGCAGGUAUCUUGAUUUCAGCCUCACAGACACCCAUGUCAGACUUCUGACCUGCAGAACUCUAAGGUAGAAGGAAAAGAAGACAAAAGAUGUACCAGAACUUCACUUUUUACCACUGACACGAGCUACUUCUUUGUUGAAUCAGUUCUAGAGGCUGGAGUUCCAAAAUCAAGGUGUCAGCAGGCUCAUGGACCCCCAAGUCUCUAGCCUCAGGUACACAGGACACACCAGAAAUAAAGCACUCCCACCCCAGUGAAGGGGAGAGAGUGUCCCCUACCUUCUACUUGAUAAGCUGCAGUGGCUGCCGCCCAUCCAAAUCCUGCAGGGAAAGCCAUGGUUUAAGAAGCUGUCUACUGGGAUCUUCAGCUGCCAGAAGCAGAGCACCCUUUGGCCAGAGGAGCCAGGCAAUUGUGCAAACAGAAAAUGAGCUCUCACCCUAGAAUGAAGCCUCAGAAUACAAAUAUUUAUGCAAACAACAAGGAAGCAGGGGCAAAGGACACUUGACUGCCACAGCCUUGAUAAGAAUCCAAGAUACUUUGUACAAGGCCAUCAUUUAUACUUUCUUCCCCCAGCACUCCCUGAUUCUUAACAGAGUUGAUAACCCUGGGUGCUAAGUCCCUGAUUUGGCAGGGCACCCAUUUACCUGAUGUUUUGCCUUUUAAAGUAACAUGAACAUUGUUUUAAAAAGUCAUUAUCAUCCUACUAGAAUUUUCCCUUAGUUCAUUCAUCCCAAUUCCUGAUCCGUACUCUGUAGAGGUAACCACUUUUAACCAUUUCUUCUGAUAUUUAAUCCCAUAUUGUGUAAAUAAUAGGGUGUUGCUGCUUAUUUUUUUCAAUUUUAGAUAAUUAUUGACUUCUGGGUAUAGGGCAGAGGAUCUAGCACUCUCUCUCUCUGUUCCUCCUCCCUCCUUCUCUUCCACCUUCUCCCAUCUGGCCAACAUGAUAAAAUUACCUUUUCAUUUAAAUGAAUUCAAUAUUUAUAUUUCUAUGAGUCUGUAUGGCUCAAAGCUGAGCCAUAUAGUAUACAUACCAUGCUUCCAUGCAACUUUUAAUUUUCUCUAGGGUUAAUCCACUGCCUGAUCUUUAUGUUUAUUUCAUCUUCUUUACACCUAUUACUAAUUCAUCCCCAAACACUCUGACAGAAGAAUACAUCUCUGAGUUGUUCAAACAACUCUGUCUUCCUGCUCCAUUCUGCACUGUUUAUUUUUUAGGACACCACAGAGCUUUGACCCACGAUCUCCUUCACAUCAUUCAGAGAGGCUCCUUCACCUCUCCCCUGGUCUUUCUGUUUCUUUUCCCGCUUUAGAGAAGCACAUCCUCAAAUAACUGUCUGAUAAAGGGGGCAUGGGACAUAAAUAUUUCAAAACUCUGUAGUUGCUCUGGAAUUGUCUUUAGUCUAACAUUGCUCUUAAUAUGCAGUUUUGUACAGGAUUUUAUGAUGAAAAUAAUUUUCACUCAGAAUUUUGAAGGCAUUGGUUCCUGAUUUUCUAGCUUCUGGUGUGGCUACUGACAAGUUUGAUGAGAAUACAAGUCCUGUUCUUUUAUAUGUAAACUUUUUUAUUUCCCCAGCCCACCCUCUCUGACCCCCAAGUUUCUGUUUCUGAAAUUUCAGUCAUGUUCAUUGGUGUGGAACUUCUGUCCAUUGUGCCAGGAACCCAGUGGGUAUGGGUUUCCACAGAAAUGUACAUGUUAACAGUAGGGGAAACUGGAUGAGGGGCCAUGGGAACUCCCUGUACUAUCUUUGAAGCUUCUGUGUAAAUCUAAAAUUGAUCCAAAAUAAAAAGUUUAUUUAAAAAAAAAUGACUAUGGAUUGGGAGGCC
rnacentral:lncRNA from 10 species